AUUGAACGCUGGCGGCAGGCCUAACACAUGCAAGUCGGACGGUAGCACAGAGGAGCUUGCUCCUCGGGUGACGAGUGGCGGACGGGUGAGUAAUGUCUGGGGAUCUGCCCGAUAGAGGGGGAUAACCACUGGAAACGGUGGCUAAUACCGCAUAACGUCGCAAGACCAAAGAGGGGGACCUUCGGGCCUCUCACUAUCGGAUGAACCCAGAUGGGAUUAGCUAGUAGGCGGGGUAAUGGCCCACCUAGGCGACGAUCCCUAGCUGGUCUGAGAGGAUGACCAGCCACACGGGAACUGAGACACGGUCCAGACUCCUACGGGAGGCAGCAGUGGGGAAUAUUGCACAAUGGGCGCAAGCCUGAUGCAGCCAUGCCGCGUGUAUGAAGAAGGCCUUCGGGUUGUAAAGUACUUUCAGCGGGGAGGAAGGCGAUGUGGUUAAUAACCUUGUCGAUUGACGUUACCCGCAGAAGAAGCACCGGCUAACUCCGUGCCAGCAGCCGCCGUAA
rnacentral:rRNA from 1 species